rnacentral:rRNA from 1 species
CCUACGGGGUGCUGCAGUGAGGAAUAUUGGUCAAUGGACGAGAGUCUGAACCAGCCAAGUAGCGUGAAGGAUGACUGCCCUAUGGGUUGUAAACUUCUUUUAUAUGGGAAUAAAAUGUUCCACGUGUAGGAUUUUGUAUGUACCAUAUGAAUAAGGAUCGGCUAACUCCGUGCCAGCAGCCGCGGUAAUACGGAGGAUCCGAGCGUUAUCCGGAUUUAUUGGGUUUAAAGGGAGCGUAGGUGGAUUGUUAAGUCAGUUGUGAAAGUUUGCGGCUCAACCGUAAAAUUGCAGUUGAAACUGGCAGUCUUGAGUACAGUAGAGGUGGGCGGAAUUCGUGGUGUAGCGGUGAAAUGCUUAGAUAUCACGAAGAACUCCGAUUGCGAAGGCAGUUCACUGGACUGCAACUGACACUGAGGCUCGAAAGUGUGGGUAUCAAACAGGAUUAGAUACCCUUGUAGUC